AUUGAACGCUGGCGGCAGGCCUAACACCUGCAAGUCGAACGAGUGGCGGACGGGUGAGUAAUGUCUGGGAAACCGCCCGAUGGCGGGGGAUAACUACUGGAAACGGUAGCUAAUACCGCAUACCAUCGGAUGUGCCCAGAUGGGAUUAGCUAGUAGGUGGGGUAACGGCUCACCUAGGCGACGAUCCCUAGCUGGUCUGAGAGGAUGACCAGCCACACUGGAACUGAGACACGGUCCAGACUCCUACGGGAGGCAGCAGUGGGGAAUAUUGCACAAGGGGCGAAAGCCUGAUGCAGCCAUGCCUGGUGUAUGAAGAAGGCCUUCGGGUUGUAAAGUACUUUCAGCGGGGAGGCGUUACUCGCAGAGGAAGCACCGGCUAACGCCGUGCCAGCAGCCGCGGUAAUUC
rnacentral:rRNA from 1 species